rnacentral:rRNA from 1 species
UCGCUGGCGGCGUGCCUAAUACAUGCAAGUCGAACGAACUCUGGUAUUGAUUGGUGCUUGCAUCAUGAUUUACAUUUGAGUGAGUGGCGAACUGGUGAGUAACACGUGGGAAACCUGCCCAGAAGCGGGGGAUAACACCUGGAAACAGAUGCUAAUACCGCAUAACAACUUGGACCGCAUGGUCCGAGUUUGAAAGAUGGCUUCGGCUAUCACUUUUGGAUGGUCCCGCGGCGUAUUAGCUAGAUGGUGGGGUAACGGCUCACCAUGGCAAUGAUACGUAGCCGACCUGAGAGGGUAAUCGGCCACAUUGGGACUGAGACACGGCCCAAACUCCUACGGGAGGCAGCAGUAGGGAAUCUUCCACAAUGGACGAAAGUCUGAUGGAGCAACGCCGCGUGAGUGAAGAAGGGUUUCGGCUCGUAAAACUCUGUUGUUAAAGAAGAACAUAUCUGAGAGUAACUGUUCAGGUAUUGACGGUAUUUAACCAGAAAGCCACGGCUAACUACGUGCCAGCAGCCGCGGUAAUACGUAGGUGGCAAGCGUUGUCCGGAUUUAUUGGGCGUAAAGCGAGCGCAGGCGGUUUUUUAAGUCUGAUGUGAAAGCCUUCGGCUCAACCGAAGAAGUGCAUCGGAAACUGGGAAACUUGAGUGCAGAAGAGGACAGUGGAACUCCAUGUGUAGCGGUGAAAUGCGUAGAUAUAUGGAAGAACCACCCAGUGGCGAAGGCGGCUGUCUGGUCUGUAACUGACGCUGAGGCUCGAAAGUAUGGGUAGCAAACAGGAUUAGAUACCCUGGUAGUCCAUACCGUAAACGAUGAAUGCUAAGUGUUGGAGGGUUUCCGCCCUUCAGUGCUGCAGCUAACGCAUUAAGCAUUCCGCCUGGGGAGUACGGCCGCAAGGCUGAAACUCAAAGGAAUUGACGGGGGCCCGCACAAGCGGUGGAGCAUGUGGUUUAAUUCGAAGCUACGCGAAGAACCUUACCAGGUCUUGACAUACUAUGCAAAUCUAAGAGAUUAGACGUUCCCUUCGGGGACAUGGAUACAGGUGGUGCAUGGUUGUCGUCAGCUCGUGUCGUGAGAUGUUGGGUUAAGUCCCGCAACGAGCGCAACCCUUAUUAUCAGUUGCCAGCAUUAAGUUGGGCACUCUGGUGAGACUGCCGGUGACAAACCGGAGGAAGGUGGGGAUGACGUCAAAUCAUCAUGCCCCUUAUGACCUGGGCUACACACGUGCUACAAUGGAUGGUACAACGAGUUGCGAACUCGCGAGAGUAAGCUAAUCUCUUAAAGCCAUUCUCAGUUCGGAUUGUAGGCUGCAACUCGCCUACAUGAAGUCGGAAUCGCUAGUAAUCGCGGAUCAGCAUGCCGCGGUGAAUACGUUCCCGGGCCUUGUACACACCGCCCGUCACACCAUGAGAGUUUGUAACACCCAUU